UGGUGGAGUGAUUUGUCUGGUUAAUUCCGUUAACGAACGAGACCUCAGCCUACUAUUGUAGUUACUAGUGUAUUCUGAUAUGCUUAACUUCUUAGAGGGACUGUCAGUUUUCAGCUGAUGGGAAGUUUGAGGCAAUAACA
rnacentral:rRNA from 1 species